UAAUUCCCCCAACUAUCUCAACUUCAAUUUGGUUUCUUCAUAUUCUCUGCUAAACGAUGUUAGUGUAUAAAUAUUGCUUCAGGGUUCUGAGGUAUAUCACAGUUUUUCAUCUCCCAAUUUCACGAUACAUCUCCUAAUUUAAGCUUCUUGCUAUGGCAAAUUCUCAAUUUCAACUUUCCUGGCCGAUAUUAGCAGUUUGUGAUGACCCGUCAUCUUCGCUUCUGUGAGUUUCACAAUGUCAAGAAAGGAGGGGAUUUGAUAGGGGUUGACAAGGUCUUGCUUGACGACAAGUCACACUAUAAUUUGAGGAUCCAUCACCGCAAAUAGUUUAAUCACUUUCAAGAAUUAUUGAGUGAAGGAACGGUGUACGAAAACACGUACAUGUUGCUAGAGGCAAUAGCCCCUUCAAGUUUCCAGCGCUACGGUCUGCAUAGGAUUCACUAAACACACCAAAUUUGUCAUCAAGGAUUUAUACAGGUAGCAAAUUUACAAAUAACUCUUUGGAGUGAGAAACUGUCUGAGAGAGAAAGAGGGUAAGAUGGAGAAAACUUUGGUUGAUGUUGUGCCUCUGAGGACUGGUUAGAUGAUUAUACAGGAUAUGUCGAUUCUUGGAAUACUUAAGUAACACAAGCUUCUGAUCGUGCAGCACUAUGUGCCUGUCAAGUUCUUUCUUUUGUUUAAGGUGAACAUCAUUGGAGGUGCAGAGAUGUAUAAGUUCAUCAAAGAGACUACUAAUCACCACAGGGUGAAGCUCAUAGAUUUUGAAUGUGGUCUGGUGGUUACGUUAAUGUUUGUCUUUAUAUUUCUAAAUAUCGGUACUCUGUCUUGGAUGAUGGCUUAAAGGUGACUUGUCCAAAAUAAGAUCUAUAGGUAAUGCACACCACAUGAUUCGAAGCUCUCUUUAUAAUUCUGGCUUACUCAUAGCUAUCUCGCUAUGUUUUCUGCUAGCAGCAUACCUAUAUAUAUAAUUUAUGAUUAAUGUCACUGAGAAGCAUCAGGGAAGGAAACCUUGCUCCGACAAUAUUGGAUUGAAAAAAAAUCCAUAGAUAUGCAAGCUCAUGAAUUUCAUUCUAAUCAAAUGGUAGCAACUGCUAGAGAAUUAUCCAUUUAUCUCCAAGCCUGCACGUAUUGAUUUAGUUAUUCAUACACACGUAACAAAAAAAUCCAAUUUACAAGUUUGUUACAAUGCGUAUAAUGUUUUUUCCUAAAUCUACACAUCACUACUUUUUAAUAUAACACAUCUU